rnacentral:rRNA from 1 species
UGAGGCACGAAAGCGUGGGGAGCAAACAGGAUUAGAUACCCUGGUAGUCCACGCUGUAAACGAUGAGUACUAAACGUUGGAUAAAACCAGUGUUGAAGUUAACACAUUAAGUACUCCGCCUGAGUAGUACGUACGCAAGUAUGAAACUUAAAGGAAUUGACGGGACUCCGCACAAGCGGUGGAUCAUGUUGUCUAAUUCGAAGGUACCCGAAAAACCUCACCAGGUCUUGACAUGCUUCUGCAAAGUUGUAGAAAUACAGUGGAGGUUAUCAGUUGCACAGGUGGUGCAUGGUUGUCGUCAGCUCGUGUCGUGAGAUGUUGGGUUAAGUCCCGCAACGAGCGCAACCCUUAUUGUUAGUUACCAGCACGUAAUGGUGGGGACUUAGCAAGACUGCCAGUGAUAAAUUGGAGGAAGGUGGGGACGACGUCAAAUCACCAUGCCC